rnacentral:rRNA from 1 species
CGAGGGUGACAGGUGGUGCAUGGUUGUCGUCAGCUCGUGUCGUGAGAUGUUGGGUUAAGUCCCGCAACGAGCGCAACCCUCGACCUUAGUUGCCAGCAUUCAGUUGGGCACUCUAAGGUGACUGCCGGCUAAAAGUCGGAGGAAGGUGGGGAUGACGUCAAAUCAUCAUGCCCCUUAUGACCUGGGCUACACACGUGCUACAAUGGGCGGUACAAAGGGUCGCGAACCCGCGAGGGGGAGCCAAUCCCAAAAAGCCGCUCUCAGUUCGGAUUGCAGGCUGCAACUCGCCUGCAUGAAGCCGGAAUCGCUAGUAAUCGCGGAUCAGCAUGCCGCGGUGAAUACGUUCCCGGGCCUU